AGUGAACGCUGGCGGUAGGCCUAACACAUGCAAGUCGAACGGCAGCACAGUAAGAGCUUGCUCUUACGGGUGGCGAGUGGCGGACGGGUGAGGAAUACAUCGGAAUCUACUUUUUCGUGGGGGAUAACGUAGGGAAACUUACGCUAAUACCGCAUACGACCUACGGGUGAAAGCAGGGGAUCUUCGGACCUUGCGCGAUUGAAUGAGCCGAUGUCGGAUUAGCUAGUUGGCGGGGUAAAGGCCCACCAAGGCGACGAUCCGUAGCUGGUCUGAGAGGAUGAUUAGCCACACUGGAACUGAGACACGGUCCAGACUCCUACGGGAGGCAGCAGUGGGGAAUAUUGGACAAUGGGCGCAAGCCUGAUCCAGCUAUACCGCGUGGGUGAAGAAGGCCUUCGGGUUGUAAAGCCCUUUUGUUGGGAAAGAAAAGCAGCAGGUUAAUACCCCGCUGUUCUGACGGUACCCAAAGAAUAAGCACCGGCUAACUUCGUG
rnacentral:rRNA from 1 species